UUUAAGAUUGCUUUGAGCGAA
rnacentral:piRNA from 1 species